UUUAUGUUGACAUUCCAACCAAUAAGCAAAAUACUCAACUGACAUAAAAACUUACAAGAAAAAUUCUACAAAUAUUUUUGUUAUAAAUUUAAGUCUCAACAAAAUUUCCAACGCAAUGUUUAGUAAAUAAAGAAAAAAUGCAAAUUUAUAGUAACAUUUUAGCGAAUAUUAUAGUAGUUACAGUAAAGUUGAAGGAAAUACUUUUGUAGUUCAAAGCAAAAGCCUAGUGAAAGCAAAUUCUACAUUCUUUUGUAUAAGGUCAAUUUCAAGCAAGUCAAUUUUUUUUGGUAAUAUAGCAAACGUAUAUAUAAAUAUAUAUAAUAAAGUAACAAAAUGCCUUCCGUACGGAAAUACCGUCGCGAAACCACUGAGAUAAGCUGUUGUUUAAAAUAUUUACUCUUCAGCAGCAACGUAGUUGUUUGGACUGCUGGAUUAUGUGUGCUGGCUAUUGGUAUUUGGGCUUGGAACGAAAAAGAUAUGUUCAGCAAUUUGGCUAAGCUAACAUUUAUAGCCUUAGAUCCGGCCUUCGUAUUAAUUUGUACUGGCACUAUAACAUUUAUAAUUGGCUUUACUGGAUGCGUUGGAGCGCUACGAGAAAAUACCUGUCUCUUGUCACUGUAUGCCCUGUUCCUGUCAUUGCUGUUGACGUUUGAAAUCAGUUUGGGUAUAUUGACUUUUGUGCUAAAGGACAAGGGUUGGAUAAAAGAUCAAGCCACCGAGGGAUUACGUGCCUUCAUCAUACACUAUCGUGAAGACCCCGAUCAGCAAAAUCUAAUCGAUUGGAUACAAGAGGAUUGGUUGCAGUGUUGUGGCAUUGAUGGUCCAAAGGAUUGGGACAGCAAUAACUAUUUCAAUUGUUCAUCUAGCGCCAUAGGCAGUCGGGAAGCAUGUGGUGUGCCGUUUUCGUGCUGCCGUCGGCGUCCAACUGAAUUGAUAAAGAACAAACAGUGCGGUUAUGAUGUGCGCAAAGAGGGAUAUAAUUAUGAAAUAUCGAAAAUCAUUUACGAAAAGGGCUGUGUACAAGCGGGUGAAGAGUGGAUUGAGCAUAAUUUAAUUAUAAUUUCAACCAGCGUUAUUAUACUUAUUUUCAUACAGAUACUUGGCAUUUGCUUCACACAAAAUCUGCGCGCCGAUAUAAAUGCGCAAAAAUCAAAAUAUCACUGACAAAUACCUAACGUCGCGCCAUGCAAUGGCGUGCCUCCCAGACCCACUGCCAUUUAGGUUGGCCACAAGUCGCGCCGAUUGUGGCUUUCCAAGAGAAAUUUCUACCGCCACUGGCACUGGGCAAUAAUUUCAUGACAGUGCCUUCUACUUCCAACUUGUUCUUUUUCGAAACCGUUUUCAAAACCCUGCAAUUCAAUUCAAGACAAUUUAUUAUUUUUCAACUGCUGUGACAGGCUUCGGCCUGAGAAAAUCGAAUUUAUUCUAGCAACAAUGGAUUUUUGGUCUCCGAUACGUAGAUCUCAAAUCUGGAUCGUUGAGGGCCAUAUCUGGAGAACACGUUGGAUUCGGAAGAAACUCGAAGUCCAUCUAUUUCAAUCACCAAUAUAUAUGUACAUAUAUACCUGUUCGAUAGUGUGAAACUUUAUGGACUUCAAUGUAGGCAAUUGUUUCCAACUUUAAUUUCUCAGGGAUGUUGUCUAUCUUUUUAAGUAUACUCAGAUCAGUAGUCAUACACAAUACGGACCGGCAACUAUACUCCAGUGGGCUUGUGUAGGGAUUCAUUACUUUAUUUAUUUCUCGCGUUAAGGGAAAAUUAAAACAAACAUUUGCUUUUUUGUUAUUUAUUUUUAAAUAUUAUUAUUCAAUUUGAUUUUAUUUAAUAUUUACUUAUGCGUUUAUUUGCAAUAUAAAAUUGUAUAAAUUAAAUGCGUUUGAUUAAAAUAUUGUCCAAUCUAUAUUUAAUAUUUAAUACAUAGCAGUUUCGUUUUUGAUUUAAGUAUAUGUCCGUAUUUAUGUAUAUUUAUAUCAUAUUUAUAAUAGUAAUAUGCUCUUGAGGCAUUAUUAGUUACAUCUUUAUGAAUAUUAUUUAUUAUAUAAAAUUCCCUGGGUACUCGCUAAACCUUGAGUACUCAUAAGUAUGGUAUAUAAACUUUUUCAUACUAAUGGAGCCAAGAAAUGAAUAUUUUAGUUUAGAGCUGUACUCUUCAUUUUUAAGUAACGAUUUGCAGUGGAAGUAGUUAGUGAGUCCAUAAUUAUAAUUCGUAGCGUUUUUGGUCCAAAAAUGGAAGUUUAAAUGGUUAUUUUAUAUAUAGAGAGAUCUUAGUUAAUAAAAACUAUUUAAUUUUUGUAAUUCGUUGGAAUAUGUUUAUAUAAAUAAAUAUAUUAUAGUUUAAUCACAAAUUAGAUAUUUAAAAAUGAAUUAAUAACUAAAAGGUACAAAUUUCUGGCGGUAUACAUAUUUUAGAAUAACGAAUUGUUUGACUUUUGGGUAUUUUGAUAUAUGUAUGAACUUAUUUUAAAUAUCAUUAAUAUCCUUUAUAUAAUUUUUCUUAUAAAAUUUACAUUAUAUUUCUAAAUACUUUACAAUUU